rnacentral:rRNA from 1 species
AAAGCCUGUCUCAGUUCGGAUUGGAGGCUGAAACCCGCCUCCAUGAAGUUGGAUUCGCUAGUAAUCGCGCAUCAGCCAUGGCGCGGUGAAUACGUUCCCGGGCCUUGUACACACCGCCCGUCAAGCCAUGGAAGCUGGGGGGUGCCUGAAGUUCGUGACCGGAAGGAGCGACCUAGGGCAAAAACCGGUGACUGGGGCUAAGUCGUAACAAGGUAGC